rnacentral:rRNA from 1 species
AGAGUUUGAUCAUGGCUCAGGAUGAACGCUAGCUACAGGCUUAACACAUGCAAGUCGAGGGGAAACGACAUCGAAAGCUUGCUUUUGAUGGGCGUCGACCGGCGCACGGGUGAGUAACGCGUAUCCAACCUGCCCAUCACUUGGGGAUAACCUUGCGAAAGUAAGACUAAUACCCAAUGAUAUCUCUAGAAGGCAUCUGAAAGAGAUUAAAGAUUUAUCGGUGAUGGAUGGGGAUGCGUCUGAUUAGCUUGUUGGCGGGGUAACGGCCCACCAAAGCAACGAUCAGUAGGGUUCUGAGAGGAAGGUCCCCANAUUGGAACUGAGACACGGUCCAAACUCAUACGGGAGCA